UACAGAGGUCUCAAGCGUUGUUCGGAUUCAUUGGGCGUAAAGGGUGCGUAGGUGGCGGGGUAAGUCGGGUGUGAAAUUUCGGAGCUUAACUCCGAAACUGCAUUCGAUACUGCGGUGCUUGAGGACUGGAGAGGAGACUGGAAUUCAUGGUGUAGCAGUGAAAUGCGUAGAGAUCAUGAGGAAGACCAGUGGCGAAGGCGGGUCUCUGGACAGUUCCUGACACUGAGGCACGAAGGCCAGGGGAGCAAACGGG
rnacentral:rRNA from 1 species